rnacentral:snRNA from 1 species
GAGCCGUGCAGUGAGGGCAUAGCGAACUAUUCUUUCGCCUUUUACUAAAGAAUACCGUGUUCUCUCUGCAUUUAAACGGCAUACGCCUAUUUUUGGAAAGGUUUAUUUACUAAUAAACCU